AUUGAACGCUGGCGGCAGGCCUAACACAUGCAAGUCGAGCGGAUGAGAGGAGCUUGCUUCUCGAUUCAGCGGCGGACGGGUGAGUAAUGCCUAGGAAUCUGCCUGGUAGGGGGGGACAACGUAUCGAAAGGAACGCUAAUACCGCAUACGUCCUACGGGAGAACGCAGGGGACCUUCGGGCCUUGCGCUAUCAGAUGAGCCUAGGUCGGAUUAGCUAGUUGGUGAGGUAAUGGCUCACCAAGGCGACGAUCCGUAACUGGUCUGAGAGGAUGAUCAGUCACACUGGAACUGAGACACGGUCCAGACUCCUACGGGAGGCAGAAGUGGGGAAUAUUGGACAAUGGGCGAAAGCCUGAUCCAGCCAUGCCGCUUGUGUGAAGAAGGUCUUCGGAUUGUAAAGCACUUUAAGUUGGGAGGAAGGGUUGUAGAUUAAUACUCUGCAAUUUUGACGUUACCGACAGAAUAAGCACCGGCUAACUCUGUGCCAGCCGCCGCGGUAAGAC
rnacentral:rRNA from 1 species